CUCAGCAGUCACACCAUCUGGAAAAAAAAAAGAGGAGAGAGAAAAAGAGAGGAUUUCAAGAAAAGGAGGGAUGACCAUUCUAAGGCUAGAAGUGGGCUAGUUUUUGCUGACUAUCUAUCUUCUAUAUUUGGAAUAGUGUAUUUAGUUAACGUCUAAAACAGAUUACUUUUCUUUCAAAUUUUCUUUUUUUUUUUUGGUUCAUUUUUUCACUUCACACAUUUUGUUCUUCCCUAAUUUCAUGGGGUUCGUAUUUUGUUUUGAUGGGUGUAUGAAAUCUCUCAUUUUUCUUGUGAGAUUUUGUAUAUUGAAGAAUUAGAGUAAGAAUUUGAGCCGAAGUUUCAAUCUUUUUUGAAAUGGGUGAUGAAGAUUGAAGUUUGUGAGGUAAAUUCAUUUCGAAUUGGUUGUGUAUUUUUGUUGGUUUUUUGGAUUUGAUUGGUUGAUUAUUGAAAAUCCCUCUAUGAAAUGUUACUAUAUUUAGUUAAUUAGCGCUCAUUCUGUUACUGUUGCUUGCCCAAAUUGGUGUUUUGAUGCAAGAAUUGGCCAAUUUGGGAAAAAUAUGCGUCAAUUUUAGGUUAAAUAAAUCUAUUUUUGGGGAAUUUCUAGAUGGGUAUUACAAUUCUCAGCUUAUUUGUUGGUUGAUAGUCUUGGUCAAUGGUGAUAGUCUGUAUUUCUGGGCAAUUAAUUUGAUUUGAGAAUGUUGAUUGAUACUUGAUAGAGGUUUGGACACAUGUUGAGUAAAGAAAUCAGAUUGUAGUUAGAUACCGAGAUUUCGGUUAUCAGUCACUAGCAAACUGUUAUGUCUACUGGAGCUUGUGGUUCUAGCUUGCUAGUAGAUCUGCCUGAUGAUAUACUUGUUAUAAUUGGAAAGUCUCUUUCGCCAAGGGACAUUUGCUAUCUUGGUCUGUGUUGUAGGAGUCUGAAUUCUCUUGCAGCAUCAGAUAAGAUAUGGCUCACUCAGUGUGAGUUGGUUGGGAUUAUAUCCCCCAAAGAUCUUGUUGAGUGGCGAAAGGCUGUUCUAUCGUAUAAGGCCAUUUGCCGGUUUUUAAUCAGCGUGAAGCCAUUGUUUGGAAUUUGGGUUCACCAGAAUCCGGAGCUUGGAAAUGUCGUUUAUGUCAUGCCUGGUUUUGUUUCGGUGGUUGGUUGUCGGAUUAUCCCUCAAGAGCUAGGUCCUUUAGGUAUAGAGGGUCCUAUUCUUUGGGCGCCUGUCUUUGAGGUGAUCUGUGAUGAUAGUGGGGGAACCGUGUUUAUGUUACAUGGAAGAGAUAAGGAUCGUGAUUAUAUUUAUCCUGGUUCAGUUAAGUCGGUUGAGAAGACUUGUAAUGUGUUAUUGCUUGAAGUUGAGCCUAUAAAAGGGAAAAAGAGGGGUAACUUGGUGCGCAGUGAGAGCUUUGAUAACCAUUCGGAUGGGGAAUCAAGUAGGAAGGCUUGUAGAUCAGACGGUAGGAUUUCAAAGUCACAGAGGUUUGCUGAACCAAGUGUGCUAACAGUGCCUUUCAGCAAGUUGUCAUUUGGAGACAGGAGGAAAUUACUUGAAAUUGUUACCAGCCAAGUCCGCAUGCGAGCUCCUGGAUCAGCUUCUGCACCUCUGUUUCCAUGUUUGAGGAGCGAUGGAGAUAGCUUUCCCAUAGACAUAGUGCACUUAAUUGAACGUCGAGCAAUGCUAAUUAAAAUGCAUGGGCAUGGAGAGGACAACAUUGAUGGGAUUGAUAAUCAUGGACCACCUAGUCUUCCUAAUCAGAUAGAUUUGAGUGAAAUAAAGAAGACUCUUGAUCGUUCAAGUGGCUUUCGUAAUUCUCUUAGUGGAGACGAUACUCGCACACAGAGUGCAAAGAAGAAAACACUUGGCGACUAUGUCAGAGACUAUACUCGACAGAUGCUUAGGAAAUCAAGCUCAUUGAACAGUAACCGUGGUGUUAGGAAGAAUAGCACUACCAGCAGUGAAAAUAAGCAUGCUCAACUUCACGAUUUCCUGAGCUCAGGAGAUACAAUAGGACUGACAUUACAUGCGUCAACCAUGAAGUUGUCUUCAUAUCGAGCAUGGCCAAAUAUGCAUGAUAGUCGAUUUGCUUUGUACAAAUUGCCUAUUCGAGUACCUACAGUUGGUCAAGAGUAUGCUGGUUUGUGGGGAGGAACUUUUGGCUGGCCUCCAGGAAAGCCUACUGAUGACAAACCUGGAAAGGCUUUAUUCUUUCUUGUUCUUUCUUACUACGAAGAGUCACCAGGGCAAAAACUACUUAUUGCUACCAAAAUAUUAGAAGGCACCCAUUAUGUUCUGCAUCCAAAUGGUUCAGCUAUGUUCAUUGUUAAUGUAAAUGAACCUUCAGAUGAGCCAUUUCCUUGGGAUUCAGGCGCAGAUGCCCUGCCUCUUACUGUUAAGCAAUCAUUUUCUGGUGACGGUAUUGCUAAUGGUUAUGGGUUUAGAUAUCCUGGCUCAAAGCCUGGUUCACUUUUUGUUCUCCAAGAUGGAAUGCUUGCAUUUCUCUGGAAAGAAUCCAGGGCUAUUUUGACAUUGCAGAGGCUUGAUUUGGAAGAGCUUUUAAAGAAAGGCGAGAGAGUACCUGUUCUUCCGCCUAUCACCAACUUUUCUUAUUUAACAAAGUCCUACUCAAAUGUGUUUGCAGGCUUUGCCAACAUGACAACUUCUGUAACUUCACCAAGGUAAAUAAAUACAGCCAAGUAUUUCACCCUAACUCAAAAGUCAAAACCAAGGAACGUGAAUUUUUAUUGUAGAAACAACGACUUGGGGAGAAAUCCUUCAUAGAAUGCUUUGAAGACUAUGUACAGAAAAUAAGUUCACAGCCAUUGGUUUUGCUCAACCGAUAAGUUUGGAUGUUUUGAAGCUCUCGGCAGCCAUAUUGAUACUAGGCUUUUUCUCAUGAUACUGUAAUAAUCAUAAAGUACCUUCAAAAUAGAGUUUGAUUUAUACUUAAUUGUGUAAAAGUUGAGGUAGUAUUCAAAAAAAUCAUGAAAAAUGUAUACACAAACAUGGUUAAUAUUGCUUAGGUAAUUAGCAUAGUACCUUAAGACUAGUAUGUUAUUUUGUUGUCUGUCUGAUAACUUACAUUUUCCUCCAUUGUUAGGAGAGCCUUUCAUGUCAUUGUUCUUGAUAACAAAAAUUAACUAGUAUGUGAGAGGUUAUUAAUUGAA